UACAGAGGGGGCAAGCGUUGUUCGGAAUUACUGGGCGUAAAGGGCGCGUAGGCGGCCUUCUAAGUCGAACGUGAAAUCCCCAGGCUCAACCUGGGAACUGCGUCCGAUACUGGAUGGCUUGAAUUCGGGAGAGGGAUGCAGAAUUCCAGGUGUAGCGGUGAAAUGCGUAGAUAUCUGGAGGAAUACCGGUGGCGAAGGCGGCAUCCUGGACCGACAUUGACGCUGAUGAGCGAAAGCUAGGGGAGCAAACAGG
rnacentral:rRNA from 1 species